CCACCUUUUCCCAGACGUAUCGAUGAGGAAACACAUAAGCUAACCAAUAUGGGCAGGGGUUGGAGUUUAUACGAUUGGAGGGAAGAGAACAGUGAAUGGGUACACAAGUGGACAAAUGAAGCGCUAGCAGAUAUAGUGCGUCAACUUAGGCCGUACGAUGGAAGUACAGAUCAAGCGUACAAGCAGUGGUACUGCAUGAACACACGUGCUAGCCUGGCCAGUCAGCCAGCUACUAUACCAACACAUCUCACACAAGAGGAGCAGGCGCGGAGACAUG